GGAAGCGGAAGAAAAGCAGGCUUCCGGUUCCGGCCGGGUAGAAAUGGCGCCCCUCGGGCGCUACGUCGUGAUCUUCGGCGGCUUCGCUGCUGCGAAAAGACACAAAGUAUAAAUCGAGCCGGCAUUAUCCAAGAAGAUGUACAGCCUCCAGGAUUAAAAGUGUGGUCUGAUCCAUUUGGAAGAAAAUAAAAACCUCCCUCUGGGUGAGAGCUUGAAGAAGCGUGGAUCUCCGCUUUUGCCAUCCAUGAUACUCCAAGUCGUUUCUGACAACUGAAAUAAUGUAGAAAAAGGGUUUGGCAUGUUGGCUUGCAUUCAUGCAUAUAGACUCGUAGUAGUUGCUAAUUUUCAAACAUUAAGAUUGUCUAUGAUUUUGAUGAUAUAGCAAAGAGAAUUGUACAGAAUGAUUUUGUUAAGAAAAUGGAAUAAUUGUGUUUUUCUUUAUUGAAAGAAUAAAUGUUAUUUUGAUCUGCACAGAUUAUGCAGCUGAUGUCUGCAUAAAAUAUGCUAUAAUAAAGUAUAU